ACCUUAGUAUCAACCUGAAGGAAUCCAUCUGGUAUGCAUUCUUCAUUCAGCUCCAAGCUGAGUUCCAGCUUCAUAUUCACCAUUUCUUUCAAGACAGAGGCAUUUCAUGUGUUCCCAUUUGGCCUCCCUGUGCAUUGCCAUGCAGUUUGUGCCAUAUGAUCGUUUGGAAUGAAUAUUAUAAAUUCGAUGAUAUAACCACUAGACUUAUUUUCCUCCUUUUCGUUCCCUCCGCAUGGUUUACAACAACAUCAUCAGUAGGAGGAUCCAUGAUUGAUGGUCCACUAUUGGUGAUCUGGUUGAGGAUGGGGCAACUCGGCUGGUUGCUGGAACGUCAUAGUACACUUUGAAAUUCAGUACAGAAGUAUAACUGGUCAGUAUCGAUAAUCAAUGGCGAAGCUAGAUUGUUCAACCCAAGACCAUUUUGUACUUAUAUAUGGCUUGAUCAUUCAUGAGUUAACUACAUCCUUCGAGCCAAGGACAUUUUUUUAAUUUUCUAAGCUUAGCAGUAAACUCAAUCCUGAAAAUGAUAUCGCAUGUGGGGGAAAAUAUAGUAUUUUGAAUGUGAAUGAUGUGGAAACUCUAACUGAUGCCAGUCUACAAGGUAUAUACAAG